UACGAAGGGGGCUAGCGUUGUUCGGAAUCACUGGGCGUAAAGGGCGCGUAGGCGGCUGUUCAAGUCGGGGGUGAAAUCCCGUGGCUCAACCACGGAAUGGCCUUCGAUACUGGACGGCUGGAGACCGGAAGAGGUGAGUGGAACUGCGAGUGUAGAGGUGAAAUUCGUAGAUAUUCGCAAGAACACCAGUGGCGAAGGCGGCUCACUGGUCCGGUUCUGACGCUGAGGCGCGAAAGCGCGGGGAGCAAACAGG
rnacentral:rRNA from 1 species